CAGGACGAACGCUGGCGGCGUGCCUAAUACAUGCAAGUCGAACGGCUUUUCUAUGGAAGCUUGCUUCCACUGAGAAGAUAGUGGCGAACGGGUGAGUAACACGUGGGUAACCUGCCCAUAAGAGGGGGGAUAACAUCCGGAAACGGGUGCUAAUACCGCAUAGUUUUCUUGAUCGCAUGAUUGAGAAAGGAAAGACGGCCUUUGUGCUGUCGCUUAUGGAUGGACCCGCGGCGUAUUAGUUAGUUGGUGAGGUAACGGCUCACCAAGACGAUGAUACGUAGCCGACCUGAGAGGGUGAUCGGCCACAUUGGGACUGAGACACGGCCCAAACUCCUACGGGAGGCAGCAGUAGGGAAUCUUCCGCAAUGGACGAAAGUCUGACGGAGCAACGCCGCGUGAGUGAAGAAAAGGUUUUCGGAUCGUAAAACUCUGUUGUCAGAGAAGAACAAGUUGGAGAGUAACUGCUCCAGCCUUGACGGUAUCUGACCAGAAAGCCACGGCUAACUACGUGCCAGCCGCCGC
rnacentral:rRNA from 1 species